UUCGAUUAAGCCAUGCGAGUCGAGAGUCUUAGGGACUCGGCGCACCGCUCAGUAACACGUGGGUAACCUGCCCUAUGCUGGGGAAUAACCUCGGGAAACUGAGAAUAAUGCCCCAUAGCCCACUACGCCUGGAACGGUGAGUGGGUCAAAGCUCCGGCGGCAUAGGAUGGGCCUGCGCCGUAUCAGGUUGUAGGGGGUGUAAAGUACCCUCUAGCCAUCAACGCGUACGGGUGUUGGGAGACAUUGCCCGGAGAUGGAUUCUGAGACACGAAUCCAGACCCUACGGGGUGCAGCAGGCGCGAAAACUUGGCAAUGCGAGCAAUCGUGACCAGGGAACUCCAAGUGCGUAGGGUAAGACCUACGCUUUUCUUGACUCUUCAAAGGUCUUGGAAUAAGGGGUGGGUAAGGACGGUGCCAGCCGCCGCGGUAAUACCGGCGCCUCAAGUGGUAGUCGCUUUUAUUGGGCCUAAAACGUCCGUAGCCGGUCUGGUGCAUUCGUGGGUAAAUCAACCCGCUCAACGGGUUGAAUUCUGCGAGCACGGCCAGACUUGGGACCGGGAGAGGCGUGGGGUACUCUCAGGGUAGGGGUAAAAUCCUGUCAUCCUGAGAGGACCACCUGUUGCGAAGGCGCCACACUAGAACGGAUCCGACGGUCAGGGACGAAACCUAGGGGCACGAACCGGAUUAGAUACCCGGGUAGUCCUAGGUGUAAACGCUGUGGACUUGAUGUUGGGGGCGCUCCGAGCGCUUUCAGUGUCGAAGCGAAGGUGAUAAGUCCACUGCCUGGGGAGUACGGUCGCAAGGCUGAAACUUAAAGGAAUUGGCGGGGGAGCACUGCAACCUGAGGAUUGUGCG
rnacentral:rRNA from 1 species